AUGGCCGCCCUAACCAAAGGCGCCAUUGACGGGCUGCUGGGCGUCCUGGCCAAGGCGAUCACCGACGAGGCGCUGCUGAUCGGCGGCGUCCCCGGCGACAUGCAGUUCAUCAAGGAUGAGAUGAACGGUAUGAAUGGGUUCCUGCUGCACCUGACCAAGACGGAGGGCCUGCACGACGACCAGGUCCGCGCAUGGAUGAAGCAGGUGCGCGAGAUCGCCUACGUCGCCGAGGACUGCGUCCAGCGCUACGUCCACGACGUGGUCCCGCAUGAAGCUGCUAGUUGUGGACGCCUGGGCGCCCUGGCGGCCAUGGCGCACCUCCUCCUCCUCCACCCCAAAAAGUUUUGUCGGCUCCGCAACCUCGGCAAGCAAGUCACUGAGCUCAAGGUCCGCGUGCGCGAUGUCGGCGAGAGGCGGUUGCGCUACGGCGUCACCGUCCCGGCCGGUCCGGACGUCAAGCUGGUGCCGAUGACGCCUGCUGGCCAACAAGAGGAGAAGAGGGUGGCCUUUGUGCGCGCACUGGAUUUGGAACUGCAACAAGACGUUGUCGGCAGCAAAGCAUGGUGGAGGGCUUCGUUCGGCUCUCCGCAGAGCGACUGCUAUGGGCGGCCUGCUUCCUGCUGCUCUCCCAUCUGCUGUACUGCCACGGUGCACGGCAUCCUGAAGAAAUGUUCUGAGGAUGACGGCGGCGACGAUGCAGCAGCAUUCAGAUGCACGAAGAAGAUGUUCCUCUGUGCUCUUUAUGCUUACCCUUACGCGACAAAUCAAGAGCUGGAGAAGCUCAAGGAGAAAUUAGAGGGAAGAGCCGAAGAUCCCAAGAAGGAAGUGAUGAUCUUCUGCUACAGCAUGCUGUCCAUCAGCCAGAAGAGUUCCCUGGAGUAUCUAACUGCUUUCCUCCAUGAGUCGGAGAUCAGCAGGACAAGCAUGGUCAGGCGAUGGGUCGCCGAAGGGCUCGUAGGUAAAGAACCAGGAGGAGGGAGGACUCCAGAAGAAGAAGGCGAAUGCUACUUCGAUGAGCUUCUAUGUCGAGGCUUCAUCUGUCCUGCUCGCUUCAGUGAUGCCGGCACGGUCAAGAGCUGUGUAAUGGAGAAGCCAGUCAGCGAUUUCAUUCUCGGCAUCACUGGAAGCGAGAACUUCGAGGUCUCGUUGCCAGCUCACCUCGAACGCCAGCUCAAUAUCCGAGAGAUAGUUCAACGACUUCAACCGCUGCAGCAAGAGCAACGACGAGCGGCGGAUCGUUGGAGGAACAUCAUCCCUCGCCGCUGCAUCAACCUUUGCAGCGACAGCGCUUCGCCGGAGGAGGAUCAUCCCAUGGACGCGCUGGUGGAUUUCCUCGAGAAACUCCCUGAGCUAUACCGGCUGAAUGUGCUGGAUUUGGGAGGAUGCAAAGGCCUGAAGAAGCGCCACCUCAAGAGCUUUGGUGGUGUGGUAUGGCUCAAGGGAACAAGCAUACGGCCUCACGACACGGAGAAGAUCAACCUGCCAAAGCUAAAGCACCUCCUCGCCGGCCGGUACCUCACGCCGGGCGAGAAGGCGUCGCUCAUCACCGUUCAGAUGCCUCGCAAGAUCGGGUCCAUGAGGUGCAUGGAGACACUAUCCCACUUCCAAAUCUCCAUGUACGGAACCGAGCUGCGAGGAGUUGCGAAGCUGCGCCAGUUGAGGAAGCUCGGUGUGGUCAUCCAUGGCAAUGCUGACAGUACCGCAAAUCUGGGUCGAGUGCUUCAUGCGCUGUCUGGAUGCCUGCGCUCGUUGUCAGUUUUCAUCACCACCCAGGGCUGGGCUAUCGACGAGGUUUCGUCUUCCUCGUCGCAAGAGAUGUUGAUGGGGGCCGCCCCUAGGCCUAGUUUCAUCCUAGAGAACCUAGAUAUCAAUGGAAAGGUCAGCGGCCUGCCUUCAUGGAUCACCAAGGCCCAGAAGCUAGCCAACGUCACUCUACGUCACACUGAGCUGAGCGGAGAUGAUGCUCUGAGGAGGCUUGCCAGUGUCCUAAGCCUGCGUUGCCUCAAGCUCAACAGCGGCGCAUUCACCGAGCAACAACUCGUCUUCAGGGUCGUCCAGUUCAAAGCUCUCUGUUGGAACACUCAUAAUAUACAAAGAGUUUCACUCUCCUACUUGGUAUCAGACGCGAGUUCUCUCCUUAGCCCUCCCAUGUCCUCCUCGGCGCCCACUCUUCCCGUCGCCACCAGCGGCGCUCCCGCCGGCACGGCGCCCCCUGUGCCCGCGCCCCUGCCCGGCGCCACGGCGCCCCUGCCUGUCCCCACGGCGUCUCCUGCGCCCGCGCCACCAGCAACGGCGCGUGGUGGAAGAGGGCGGCUGCAUGGCGCGGUGCUGGUGGUAGGGGAGAGGCAGCGAGUGCCAGGCUACAUGCGAGGUCAUAAUAUACAAAGAGUUUCACUCUCCUACUCUCUCAAGAUCCUCGUCCUCGAGGGUGGCCCCAUCACCACCAUCACCUUCCUCGCCGCCGACGCAGCUCCUGCGCUCGAGAAGAUUGUGUGGGCCAUUAGCAGCAGCAGCAGCAGCAGGGUACGUGAUGGGGAGGACCUCAUCGUCGGGAUCAACUACCUUCCCAAUCUGAAGGCAAUUGAGCUUAGAGGCGACUUCAACACGACGAGCCUCUUGGACUGGGAGCAAGCCACAGCAGAAUCUACAAAUGAUGCAAGGUAUCACAUCCGCUACAUGUUGUCCUCCACCACCUCCAUUGGGAACGAAUUGAUCAUAGAGGUCCCAAAAACUGCAAGGCAUACUACCGUAUCAAUUCCGGUCGCAGUUAUCAACCAGCACUAG
rnacentral:rRNA from 1 species